CGCUGUUAUAAGUUUAUUUUAUUAGAACUAUAAUUUACUUUAAUUUUUAAUUAAAUGUAUUUCAAGUCAAGGUGCAGCUUAUAAUGAAGUGGAGGUGGGUUACAAUAUAUUUAUAUAAACGGAUUUGAAUUUUAAAAUUUUUAUUGAAGGUGGAUUUAAUAGUAAUUUUGGUUAUAGAGCCAAUUUGAUUUUAGUUCUAAAAUAAGUACACAUCGCCCGUCGCUCUA
rnacentral:rRNA from 1 species